AUUGAACGCUGGCGGCAUGCCUUACACAUGCAAGUCGAACGGUAACAGGUUUUCGGCUGCUGCCGAGUGGCGACCGGUUGAGUACUACAUCGGAACGUGCCCGAUCCUGGUUUAUAGCGGGGCGAAAGCUUUGCUAAUACCGCAUACGAUCUCCUACUGCAAGCGGGGGAUCUUCGGACCUCUCCCGGCCUGGCCCGCCGAUGUCAGCCUAGGUAGUUGGUGGGAUAAAGGCUUACCAAGGCGACGAUCUGUAGCUGGUCUGAGAGGAUGAUCAGCCACACUGGAACUGAGACACGGCCCAGACUCCUACGGGAGGCAGCAGUGGGGAAUUUUGGACAAUGGGCGAAAGCCUGAUCCAGCCAUGCCGCGUGGGGGAUGAAGGCCUUUGGGUUGUAAAGUGCUUUUGUAGGGAAAGAAAAGCAGCAGGCUAAUAAAGAGGGGUCAUGACGGUACCGAAAGAAUAAGCACCGGCUAACUACGUG
rnacentral:rRNA from 1 species